rnacentral:lncRNA from 1 species
ACAAUAUCAACGAUAAUAUCGGAAAAUAUCGACGUCGAUAAUUUUGCUCACACUUCAGCAAUAUUUUGUUACAAUAUCGCUAUAAUAUCGCUAAAAUGUCGAAAAUAUCCAAAAUAUCGAUGUAAUUAAAACAAAAAGGAAAAAAAAAAGGGAAAAAAACACAAAGGGGAUUCAAGGUGUUUCCUCUUGUAAAAUUAGUCAUCC